CUCCAGAUGUUGUUGGACUACAACUUCUUUCGGUUAAUGGGAAUUGUAGUUCAACAACAUCUGGGG